CAGAACUGGCCUUUAUUAAACCUCUCCCUGUGCCUUCUGCAUGACAAAUAUCAUCUCAUGAACUAAUCAAUGAUUCCUCUGUGAGGAGGUUGUUAUCUCCAAGUCACAGGGCCAAGAUGAAGACCACGUGAGACAGGUGUCGGCAACCUACAGCCCAUGAGUCAAAUCGAGCCCACUCCCUCUUUUUGUACAACCCACAAGCUGAGAAUGGCUUUUACAUUUUAAGGGGUUGGGGGAAAAAAUCAAAAGAAGAGUAACAUUGUGACGUGAAAGCUGUA
rnacentral:lncRNA from 1 species